AAUUCGAUUAGUUUGAUCAUGGCUCAGGACGAACGCUGGCGGCGCGCUUAACACAUGCAAGUCGAGCGAGAACCAGUCCUUCGGGGCUGGGGAAAGCGGCGAACGGGUGAGUAACACGUGAGUAAUCCACCCUUGGUACCGGGAUAGCCCGGGGAAACUCGGAUUAAUACCGGAUGGCCCGACAGCCUCUCGAGGCGGUUGGAAAAGGUAGCUUCGGCCUCCGACCAAGGACGAGCUCGCGGCGGAUUAGCUUGUUGGUGGGGUAACGGCCUACCAAGGCGACGAUCCGUAGCUGGUCUGAGAGGACGAUCAGCCACACUGGGACUGAGACACGGCCCAGACUCCUACGGGAGGCAGCAGUGGGGAAUCUUGCACAAUGGGCGAAAGCCUGAUGCAGCGACGCCGCGUGCGGGAAGAAGGCCUUCGGGUUGUAAACCGCUUUCAGGAGGGACGAAGCCACUCGGGUUAAUAGCCCAGAGGGUGACGGUACCUCCAGAAGAAGCCCCGGCUAACUACGUGCCAGCAGCCGCGGUAAUACGUAGGGGGCAAGCGUUGUCCGGAUUUAUUGGGCGUAAAGAGCGUGUAGGCGGCCAAAUAGGUCGGUUGUGAAAACUGGAGGCUUAACCUCCAGACGUCGACCGAAACCAUCUGGCUAGAGUCCGGAAGAGGAGAGUGGAAUUCCUGGUGUAGCGGUGAAAUGCGCAGAUAUCAGGAAGAACACCCGUGGCGAA
rnacentral:rRNA from 1 species